AGUGAACGCUGGCGGUGGGCCUAACACAUGCAAGUCGAACGGCAGCACAGUAAGAGCUUGCUCUUACGGGUGGCGAGUGGCGGACGGGUGAGGAAUACAUCGGGAUCUACUUUUUCGUGGGGGAUAACGUAGGGAAACUUACGCUAAUACCGCAUACGACCUACGGGUGAAAGCAGGGGAUCUUCGGACCUUGCGCGAUUGAAUGAGCCGAUGUCGGAUUAGCUAGUUGGCGGGGUAAAGGCCCACCAAGGCGACGAUCCGUAGCUGGUCUGAGAGGAUGAUCAGCCACACUGGAACUGAGACACGGUCCAGACUCCUACGGGAGGCAGCAGUGGGGAAUAUUGGACAAUGGGCGCAAGCCUGAUCCAGCCAUACCGCGUGGGUGAAGAAGGCCUUCGGGUUGUAAAGCCCUUUUGUUGGGAAAGAAAAGCAGCAGGUUAAUACCCCGCUGUUCUGACGGUACCCAAAGAAUAAGCACCGGCUAACUUCGUG
rnacentral:rRNA from 1 species